CGUUUUGUGGGGUGCUCGAGUGGCGAACGGGUGAGUAACACGUGAGUAACCUGCCCUUGACUUUGGGAUAACUUCAGGAAACUGGGGCUAAUACCGGAUAGGAGCUCCUGCUACAUGGUGGGGGUUGGAAAGUUUCGGCGGUUGGGGAUGGACUCGCGGCUUAUCAGCUUGUUGGUGGGGUAGUGGCUUACCAAGGCUUUGACGGGUAGCCGGCCUGAGAGGGUGACCGGCCACAUUGGGACUGAGAUACGGCCCAG
rnacentral:rRNA from 1 species